GACGAACGCUGGCGGCGUGCUUAACACAUGCGAGUCGAACGGAAAGGCCUGCUUUCCCUUGUGGAUUGCGGGUACUCGAGUGGCGAACGGGUGAGUAACACGUGAGUGAUCUGCCCCCAACUUGGGUAUAAGCCUGGGAAACUGGGUCUAAUUCCCGAUAGGACUGCAGGGUGGUGCCUGUGGUGGAAAACGAUUUUCUAGUGGUUGGGGAUGAGCUCGCGGCCUAUCAGCUUGUUGGUGGGGUAAUGGCCUACCAAGGCGGCGACGGGUAGCCGGCCUGAGAGGGUGGACGGCCACAUUGGGACUGAGAUACGGCCCAGACUCCUACGGGAGGCAGCAGUGGGGAAUAUUGCACAAUGGGCGGAAGCCUGAUGCAGCGACGCCGCGUGGGGGAUGACGGCCUUCGGGUUGUAAACUCCUUUUGACCGCGAGGAAGCCACCUGGUUGGAAGGGUGGUGACGGUAGUGGUAGAAGAAGCACCGGCUAACUACGUG
rnacentral:rRNA from 1 species